UCUGCCAACGCCCGACAUCCGCGGGAUUUUAAUAGUCACUUAUUUUGUGAUGUGAUUCUUUUCGUUCGGUAUAUUCGUAACGAUACGUCGUGCAUCUUGCGAUUGGAGAAUUAGGAGCAGGAAUUCGUCAGGAGGAGAUAGAAUGGCAUUCGAAGGGGCGUCGAGUAAAGAUAAAGGCCAGCCUGUGAUUCCACCUGUGAGCUUUCAAUUUCGGACGUCGAGUAAAGAUACAGGCCAGCCUGUGAUUCCACCUGUGAGCUUUCAAGUUUCGGUGAGUACUCCGAUCUUGUAUUCCUUUCUUGUGACUUUCAUCUGAAGUGCAACGUCGAUGUCCCAUUUAGUCUUACCCUGUAUGACGUUUUCAUUUGUGAGCGUUUUUUGUCAUUAGUUUAAAUAGGACG